rnacentral:rRNA from 1 species
GAUGAACGCUGGCGGCGUGCCUAAUACAUGCAAGUCGAGCGAACAGACGAGGAGCUUGCUCCUCUGACGUUAGCGGCGGACGGGUGAGUAACACGUGGAUAACCUACCUAUAAGACUGGGAUAACUUCGGGAAACCGGAGCUAAUACCGGAUAAUAUAUUGAACGGCAUGGAUCAAUAGUGAAAGACGGUUUUGCUGUCACUUAUAGAUGGAUCCGCGCCGCAUUAGCUAGUUGGUAAGGUAACGGCUUACCAAGGCAACGAUGCGUAGCCGACCUGAGAGGGUGAUCGGCCACACUGGAACUGAGACACGGUCCAGACUCCUACGGGAGGCAGCAGUAGGGAAUCUUCCACAAUGGGCGAAAGCCUGACGGAGCAACGCCGCGUGAGUGAUGAAGGUCUUCGGAUCGUAAAACUCUGUUAUUAGGGAAGAAAAAAUGUGUAAGUAACUAUGCACGUCUUGACGGUACCUAAUCAGAAAGCCACGGCUAACUACGUG